GCUUUUGAGAAAUGUCUGCUCAUGUCACUUGCCCACUUUUUAGUGGAAUUAUUUAUUUUUCUAUUGUUGAUCUAUUUGAGUUCCUUGUAGAUUCUGGAUAUUAGUCCUUUGUCAGAUGCAUAGUUUGCAAAUGUUUUCUCCUAUUUUGUAAGUUGUCUGUUUAAUCUGUUAAUAGUUUCUUUUGCUGUGCAGAAGCAUUUUAGUCUAAUUAGGUUCCAUUUAUGGAUUUAUUUAUUUUGUCACAUUUGCUUUUGACCUUAGUCAUAAAUCCUUUGCCUAGGCCAAUAUCCAGAAGAGUUUUUCCUAGGUUUUCUUCUAGAAUUUUUAUGGCUUCGGGUGUUAAAGUCUCUAAUCUAGCUUGAGUUAAUUUUUGUAUAUGAUGAGAGAUAAGGAUCCAGUUUCAUCAUUCUACAUGUGGCUAUCCAAUUUUCUCAGCACCGUUUAUUGAAUAUGAUGUCCUUUCCCCAGCAUAUGUUUUGGUCUGCUUUGUCAAAGAUCAGUUGGUUGUAUGCAUUUGGCUUCAUUUCUGGGUUCUCUAUUCUUUUCCAUUGGCCUAUGUGUCUACUUUUAUACCAGUAGCAUACUGUUUUGAUUAUGAUAGCGUUAUAGUAUAAUUUGAAGUCAGAUAAUGUGAUGCCUCCAGAUUUGUUAUUUUUGCUUAGGUUUGCUUUGGCUAAUCAGACUCUUUUUUGGUUCCAUAUGAAUUUUAGAAUUGUUUUUUCUAAUUCUGUGAAAAAUUAUAUUGGUAGUUUGAUAGGAACUAUAUUGAUUAUAGAUUGCUGUGGAUGAUAUGGUCAUUUUCACAAUAUUGAUUCUUCCAAUAUAUUAUAAGCUUGGUCUGUGUUUCCAUUUGUUUGUGUCAUCUAUGAUUUCUUUGAUCAGUAUUUUGGAGUUCUCCUUGUAGAGAUCUUUCACCUCCUUGGCUAAGUGUAUUCCUAGGUAUUUUAUUCUUGUUAAAGACACAGGACCUGUGGGUGACAGUCUAUCUAAUAAGGAUCAUGUACAACAGUGACACGUGCCAAUCUCAUUACAUGGUAGUCACAUGAUUCAAGAACCUUUUUGUUCCAGCUGUUCCUGACAGCUGUGCUCCUCCCUCUCGCUCAGCACGAAGUUCCUGAAGCACCCAGAUGACAGCCUUAUGUUCAGUGUGGUCACCUGCACUGCCUGAUUAUACUUGCUAAAUACUAAGAUGAAAAUACACUUGCUCUAUCUCCUGCUUUCAUUUCUUCUCUCUAUCUCUCAGUCUCUAACUCACAUGUAUUUACCUGCUUUGCAAGUUUCUGCAUGUCCAUGUUUUUAAAUGUCCCUAUAAGCAACACUUUCCUAAUUCAUUUACUGUAUCAAAGAAAAUAUCUCCCCUGCGGUGGAUUCUAUCCCCAUUAAGCCUUGGAGCUAAGUACUCCAGAAAUAUCAUCCAUUACUUUUUCCUUGAAAGUCAUGCAAAAAAAUAUGACAUUUAUAUAUAAAGAUGGUUUUUUUUCAAUCUAAAGAUGUUGAAAAAUCUCCAUAGUAGGAAACUAUUACUACAGACUGCAUAUGAAUGCCUGUAUCCCAUGAGAUUCUACCACUGGAUCUCCCGAAAUGGUGUAUUGAAAGCCCCUUUUAACCUGAACUCUUCAUUUGGAUUGCAUUUGCAGGAAGCUUGUAAAUGCUGUAUAUAGGGAAUAUUUGUUGACUGAUGGAAUCAAUUUAAAUGCAAGUCGUGGGUUUUAAGAAAAUUAAAGCAGCUUUAUAUAGAAGUUAAGUUAAGGCAAACUCCAUAGCUUGCUGCAAAGUGGAAUUAGAGUGCAGGCAUAGAUACCAAAAUCUAUAUUCUUCACUCCUGGCGCUGGCUGAUAACAACAACAAAAAAAUCCUGAAAGGGAUCUGCUGGAGACAGGAUUGGCGAGAGCAGGGGAAAAGACAAACGGCACUGCUUCAGCUGGAGCACAGAGGACAGGACCCGUUCAGGAGCCAGAGGAGGAGAUGGAAAGCAACCCACAGAAGCCAUGAGGCCCUGGGGGCUCUGGGAGGACACAGCAAAGAAAUGCAGGUGGAUGGUUCCCUCUAUUGGUGAAAAAAUUGCAGAUCAUAUUAGUUGCAUCAUUGAUUUCUGGGAAACAAUGAAGAAAAUAUUGGCAAAGGUAAUAUCUGAGGAUACCAAGGUAAGGUGGGGAAAUCUGAUUUGCAAUUUUAGGAAAGGAAUCCAGUUUGAUGGUCUGGAGUAUUUGUAAUAGCAAGCCAGAGUCACACGGAAGCCCAGGAGCUCGCUUAAUAACUUAUUUUUAUAUUUAUUUACUUAUUUAUUUAUUUUGAGCCUGAGUUUCGCUCUUGUUGCCUAGGCUGGAGUACAAUGGCGUGCUCUUGGCUCACUGCAACCUCUGCCUCCCAGGUUCAAGUGAUUCUCCUGCCUCAGCCUCCCAAGUAGCUGGGAUUACAGGCACCCACGACCAGGCCCGGCAAACUUUUUUUGUAUUUUUAGUAGAGACAGGGUUUCACCAUGUUGGCCAGGCUGGUCUCGAACUCCUGACCUCUGGUGAUCCACCUGCCUCAGCCUCCCAAAGUGCUGGGAUUACAGGCGUGAGCCACUGCGUCCAGCCUUAAUAACUUAUUUUUAGGACAAAAUGUAUGUGUAGAUUUUAUUAUAUGCAGAAACACAAUUACAUUAAAUCUAGCUCUUUGUUUCAUAGUAAAUUAGAGCUUAGCACAAAUAUUAUUCCUCCUGUAUAAAUGAUUUAUUUAGCUAAACAAAUUACAUUGUAAUUCUCCUCAGUUUAAAAAUGUAGAGCUUAUGGGUUUUCAAAAGGUUCAGGGGAAACAUACUAAGUUUCAAAGCCUAAAACUGUUAACAUUCCUCCCUUAUUCUUACUUUAUCAUGAUAUGCUAUGCUGCAGAUGUUUCUCAGAGACAUUCAGUGAAAAUCUAAGUCUCUCUGCUCAUCAUUUUUAAUAGCCAUGUGAGUUCAAGUCUUCAAGAAUGGUUGAAAGGGGACAAAUAAGGAACUCUCUUUUCUUAAAUUAAAAACAAGAAAGUCUUCACCAACUUAAGCAUCUGGGAAGCUAUAAACUGAGAGUAAUAAAAAUUGAUUAACCUUAACUGGAGAAAACUCCCACAGACCUUGAAAUACUUUUGUGUAGGAGAUAAAUAAUACAGCUGACUAAUGAUCUCACAAGUGCAAAUAUAGAAGACGAACUGGAGACAUCUACAGAAUCUUCCUUGUUAGGAACACUGCUCAGGUCUUUGUUCUUUGAUGGAAAUCUACAUUUACGAGCUGCCAGAUCUGGCCUGUCAAACCUACUUUUCGUUUUGGUGACUGACUGAUAUCCAGAUGACAUGAACAGCGUUUACAUGUGACACAUAAAUAUGUGCAUGCAAUUUAAGAGCUUUGCUGGUCAUCAGAUUUGGAGAAGGAAUAAAGGAAAAAAUCAUACGCAUUUUUUAAUAUUUACGUAUCAAUACAAGACUAAAUUUCAGUCUGUGUGCCUCAUAGUGAGAUCAGCAGAAACUCUGCCUGCUUUUUUUCUAUUG
rnacentral:lncRNA from 1 species